GCUGCCUGGCCAGGGCGACUGGCGGAUAAGGUCUUGUGCGUGGCCUCGAGGCUUAAAAGUAGCAGUGGGGCUUUGUGAAGGACAAAAUGGCGAUGGCGGGCCGUGUAGGUCCCCCUUCCUAUGAUGAGGACCUUUUCACAGACCUGUACUGAGCUCCGUGAGGAUAAAUAACUCUGAGGAGAUGGGCCCUGCAAGCCUCUUGCUUAGCCGUCUGUUCAGAAAAUAGCGUUUUCGAAAUGCCCUGAGUUGACCUAAUGUCUUAUUGGGCUCCUGUCUGCAGGAUUUACGCGCACGUUGGAACCGAAGAGAGCUCUGUUGUUGCAAUGUUCAGCCCACAAGAGCUUACUGGUGAAGGAAUGGGACAAGACCCAUCUUUAUGCAAAGCCAGCGUUACAGUAAUGUUCCAGCAUCUCAUAAUCUAUCCUGGGGAAUUCAGCUGCCUCCCAGGGUGAAUACAGGUAUUCCUGAUGACAGUCUGCCUCUAUCUUACAGAGCAGCUUGUUGCUAUAUACCAUUGAAAAGCCUUCAGAGCUGAGAGGUACUACUAACCAAUAACCUGCUUGGCUCAAAGGGCCAGCACCUUCUCUCUAAAGCCCAAGAGGAGUUUGAGGAAAACUAGGUGUCUGUGUUCACUCCAGGCUGAAGUUACAGGUCUGAGCAAAUAAGGUGUAUAAAAAAUGGAAUCUGUCUUGGAGGACAUCAGAAGGUGAAUUUUCCAAGUUCUUGGACAACCUAGCUGUUGAAAAGCUUUCUGGGUUUGGGGGGUAUUUCAGAUGUACCUUAAAGUGUUAGCAGACACAGAUUAAGACACUGGGAGCCAAUGAAACAGCAGUUGAGGGUUUGCUGUGUAUCACAUUUCUGUAUUUUAUCACCCCCUUCCUGCAACAUUAUUUAUCUGGAAUCUACCUGCCCUUUUGUUUUUUAGAUACAAGGGCUUGGUUUUGUUACCCAGGCUGGUUUCAAGGCCAUAGCUUUAAGAGAUCCUCUCACCACAGAUUUCCAAAGUGCUGGGAUUGCAGGUGUGAUUCAUGGCACCCAGACUUUGCUGCCUUUCUUACAUGAUCCAGGCCCAGAACCCAAACUCAGGCACUGUAUAGAUGACCACUUUCGUAAACUACUGACCUAGCUUGUUGCCAAUUGUUGAUUGAACUUCCCAUAACUCCACUUCGUGUCUGUUCCUCUGUAUACAGCCACCUUCUGUUCCCGUCAUGAGCCUUUAGGUCUCCAUUUGCAUAUUGCAAAUACUAUGUUCCAUGUAGGUAGCUCAUUCAGGGCCUUGCUCUUCACUUCAAAAAAGGUUCCCUUGAGGACUGGCUGUCAAUUUGUGUUGCUGUGUUGGUUGUUGAUGAAAAUAAUAAAAUGAUUGAUUACAUA
rnacentral:lncRNA from 10 species